AUGACGGCUUUUAUAGUUGUUCUUGCUGUUCUUAUCUCUUUAGGUGAGGGAGCUGGUGGAUGGUGUCCUGUGGCAGAGGGAGGAGCAGGAGGGGGAUCCAGUCAAGACACAGUCUCCAGAAGUAGCCUGAGCCAAGGAGCUGCUUGCGUGGCUGAGGACCCUGAGAAAACAGGAGCUGCCUUCGAGAUCUGUUCUGGCAUUGGAAGCAUCCCAAGGUUUCCAGGGUGUGAAUACUGACUUGUCAACCAAAGGGCACGCUCCUCAUUCUCUCAAUGCCUAUCCUGCCUCUUCCAACCCAGGGUUGUGCCACCAUUUUAUCCAUUAAGCCAGCCCCUGCCUUGUCAGUCCCACCCCAAUACACCAAGGACACUGAACUGGGGUUCUGCAGCAUCUUUGCUGAAAAAAAUGAAA
rnacentral:lncRNA from 1 species